UAAGCAGCUGGUUGUCAGACAAAUUAGAGGAGAACUAAAAAAAUAAAUUUGACACUAUUCCAGAAAACGCUCUUCACUGGAGCAUUCUGCAUGGAGAGCAGCUCAUUUAAAAUAUAUUUUCCUCUAAAUUUUCAUUCUUCCCCCUCCUCCUUCUCUCCUACUGUUUCUAUUCCCUGUCUCCCUAAACCCUGACUCCCUCAUGGAUUUCACUCUCAUCUCAACUGCUUUUCCCUUCUUUUCACUGAGUGAUGUUACCGUUGACAAGGCUUCAGCCUGUCAGUCCCCAGCUGUGCACUGUGGGAGCCCCAGUGAAGGAAGUAUACGUGCACGCCGGUCAGGACCCCGCGGGUGGAGGCUGCAGAGGCUGGAGGAGGGCAAUGUUGCCAAGCAGAUGCAACGCAGUGAGGCUGACUGAAGAAGCAGCGGCAUGAAAUGUGGAAAAAUGAACCCAGGGAGAGGGACCGGAGGCAGGAGCCCAGAUGCUGGAGCCUUGCUACUCAAAACAUGGUCCAUGAACGAACAGCAUCAGCACCACCUGCAGAAAGCAGCUCAGGCUCCACUCGCGACCUGACGAAUCAGAAUCUGUAACUCAACAAGAACCCUGGGUGAAAUGUGAGAAACGUUGCUUUAAAGAGUACGUUCUACCUGGAUUUUUCAACCUAAAAGGCACAAGCAGUAGAGAGGAAAUUCUGGUCACAGGUACACCUUCAUCCAGAGCACCUAGACUCAUCCUGUCCAUUUAUAAUCCCAUCAGGAGUGUGAGAGUGCUCGUUCAGUUUUGCCAGGAGUAGGAAUGAUCCUUUUGAAAAAUUUUCCCUGAAUGAUUAUAAGUGUUGUGGAAGCUCUGAAAAUCAGCUGUCUGGGAACACCACCACCACCACCACCACUGUGACCAACAAAAAUCAAACCGGAAGUUUAGCCUCCAACAAUACAGGAAGCAGAUUCAUGGAGCAGAUGCACUUGUUAUGAAAACAGUAAAUCAUGCAUACUGAUAAAUGAAUGAGACUUGAUAAGGACAUCGUAUCCCACUGUGUGAGAAGGUGGUGCUGUAAUGUGAAAAAUACAAUCUCAUGAAGUACGUUGAGUCCUCAAAAGGACAAGGGGAUCAAUAAAAACACAGUUCGCAUACUCCCAGCAAAAAACCGGGUGUUAGAGCACUUCUGAAGGAUUUGGUUGUUUCAUGAGAUGAAAAAUGUCUACUUCGAGGCCUUAAAAUAUUGAUGCCCUAAAGAGUUCUUCCCUACUGCCACACAGCAUCUGUCUUAGAACAGAUCAUGGUGAGAGGCUCCAGAGGCCAAGGGAAUAAGUUAAGGGGAUGCUGCUUCUCACUGUGCAGGAAAUAAUUCUUCUUAAGAGGCCAUAUAUCAGUCCAGAAAAAGCUGACAAGCUUUUUAAAAAAUACAACAGAAACAAACUAAAAGCGAUUCAUUCCUGUCAUCUUCUUUACAUCUUGAACUCAAAUUAAAAAAAAAAUUGCCAAUAAAAAUAUACAAGUCUGUGUGUCUUAUAGUAACUAGGUAUCCAUAUCUGCAUGUGUAUAAAUUCCAGUGCAAUCCCCAGAGAUCUCCUAUAAUAAGUAAUGGUAACAUGUUUGCCUCUGGAGAGUGAAACCUGGUGCUGGGGUACCAGGGUAAGAGAUGUAGUUAUAUUUUUUCCAUUAUGUACUGUUUGAGCUUUAAAAAAAUCAUGCAUGUUUUAAUUGUUUUUUUAAAAAUUCAUGAUAACUAUGUAAAUAAAUAGAUAUAUAAAAUGUAUUGGGACAUUUGGUGACAUCUGUACACAUUUUUUUUUAGUCACAAUUGGGGGAGGGCUCAUCACUGGUACUUAGCAGAUGGAGACCAAGUCUGCUGUUAAACAGCCUACAAUGCAGAGGACAGCCCCCUACAACCAAGAAUAUCCAGCUCAAAAGGUCAACAGUGCUGCUGUUGAGAAAACUCUAAAUGAUGGACCCUUACAUACAGAACAUAAACACUCAGAGUAUGAAUUAUAUAAACAACUACUACAGUGGACUCUUGGCUCCUUAUCACUCCAGACAGAGUAUAUCAUCCAAAGAGACAGGACAUGGAGUUGAUCUACAGACCCAACACCUCCCACUCUCAAGCAGUUUCCUGCCUGCUUGGGGAGAAGCAGUUUUCAUCAGUGGCUCUUGGCAGGGUAAGCAGCAACAGCAAGAUCUGCCCUUCCUGUUGCAUCAAGCACCUUGGAGAGAUGACCAUAAGGUCCUCUCUUCAUGGGCCUGUGUUGGGUGGGAGAGGGCAAUCAGGAGCUGCAUUGUUCCAAUUAUUCUUGUUUAAACAAGUCUGGUUAAAAGCCAUUCACACACUACAUCUCAAAUACAGAACUAGCAGCUGUAUUCAAACUUUGUAUUAUAAUCCGGUCGCACCAUCCAAUUGUUUAUUUGAGACCACAGGCUUCAAUUAAUUUAGGGGACAGUAUGGUGAUCAAAGGAGAAAAGUUUCUUACAAAUCAGUAUUUGUUUAGAGGGUCUUGUGUCCUUCCAAAGAUUCCUUGUCAAGGCAACACACAAAACUUCAAAUAAUGAAGUACUUCAUGGCUUUUGCACUGAUGACAACAUAAAGGAAGAAUGACUCUUGCCUCCUUGAACUAUAUCAUCUAUUUAGCUUAAUUUCAACUUGUCCUGAUAUUAUGCUUUCCUUUUUUUAGUCAGUGAUAUUUUUAUCCUUGUUUAAUUUUGCAUUAUACUGUAUUAUAACAAAAUCAUAAAAUGUUUGAGCUAAAAGGGAUCUUAAAAAUCACCUAACAAAAUCCUCACAUUUUAUAGAUAAUAAAAAUAGCUACUCAGAUA